GCCGCCGUGGAUCACGGUGGAUCGUCCUCCCUCCAUUAGGAGAUAGUAUCGAAACUCUUUGCAGGGGAAGAAGUGGGUUCGACUCCUACCGGCGGCA